UGAAAGGGAGACUAUAGGCUAGAUGGAUGGCUGGGGGCUCUCAGGAUUUGUCUGGCUCUGCCUACAAUGCUGGCAUUACUGGAACAUGCAGCUAUACCUGGCUUUUUACAUAAGUGCUGGGGAUUUGAACUCGGGUCCUUAUGCUUGUGCAGCAAGCACUCUUAUCCACUGAGACAUUCCCCCAGAGCCCUAGCUGAGUUUAAUCUACACAAUGCAGGUGUUAUUGGAGUCCGCCUCGGCAUUCUCAUUUUCUCUUGUGUGCCUACACAUGCCCCUGAAUGUGUGUAUAUUCAUGUAAGAGGGACGCACGAGUAGGCAUAGAUGCAUGGUGCACUUGUUGGGAGGAAGUCAAAGGAAAUCUUCAAUUGUUGGUUCGUUUGUUUUGGUGCCUUCUCUCGUUGACCUUGAGCUUCACCAAUAAGGCCAGGCCUGCUGACUACAAGCUUCCAGAAAUGCCCCUGUCUCUGCCUCAGACCUCGGUGUCCCUGAGGGGACAGGCCUGCACCACUCCAACUAGCUUCUUACCUUUCCUAUAUAUGGGUUCUGGGGACUUAACUCAGGCUCUCCCAGCCUUCCUCUUCUUCUUUUGAAUCUCCAACAAGUUUUGCUUAGUCCCUAUUCAUCCCUUACGCCUAGAAUGCCUGGAUGAUCUUUCUCUACUAUGCCGAGCCAUACUUAUAUGUUUUCUGUGUCAUUGGAGGGCAGAAGAAAUUAGACACGACAACUUUCUAAUUGAGAGAGAACAAGCACCACAGCUUACAGAGAGAAGGGCAAGUGGAAAUGGAGAAAGGAAGAAGUCUGGCGUGGAAACGUCUCACUAGUGAAGAGGGCUGGGGAAGGAGCGAUCUGGACCAGGAAAAGCCAGCUCAUGUGAUCGCUGACUUUUCUAGCGUCACUCCUUGGCCAUCUGGGUUCUUGCAAGUCCACAGAUGUCUUUUUUGCAGAAGCCUCUCUGCAGGCACAAGCUAACUGGGGUUAGGGACAGGAAGCAGGAUACAAAGACACUUUCCUAGCUGCUAAACAGUAUCCUGAACUGCCACCAACAGGGUGAAAUUGGCCACUAGACCUCAUCGUGACAAAAGUGGCGUGAGUUUCGGUUUAUUUCCUGAUUGAUUUCAUUCCCAACAGUAGGAAGCCUAAGUGUGUGCGCCAUGUGUUUGUGCUAUGUAUUAUGUGUGCAAUGUGGGUCAUGUGUGUAUAUGUGCACAUGUGUUAUGUGUAUGCUAUGUAUGUGCGUACAUGUGUGCGCACAUGUGUGUUGUUGUAUGUGGAAUCGACAUGGACAGAAAAUAGGUUCCUCGGAGAACUGCAACCUUUAUUUUGUCUCCUUACUGUUCCAUCACCUAUGUAUUACAGGGGGUGCACAUGUAUGGGUGUAGUGCCCAGAGGUGAAUGUUGGGUAGGCUUAGGCAUCAAAGUGGCUGCCACACAGGUAUGAGGGGAGUGACUCUGGAUCUCCCACAUCCACAUUAAAAGCCAGAUGCAGCAACGAGUGUCUGUGACCACAGUUCUGAGUGGAUAAGGACAGGAGAGUCCUUGCAAUGUACUAGUCAACUAGCCUAGCUGAAUCUCGGGACUGCGGGUCUCAAACAAUAAUGAUAGAGUGGGGAGUCAUCAAAAAGACACCUGAGAUCUGCCCUCCUGCCUCCACAUGUGCAUGCGUGUAGACAUGGAAAUGUAAGCACAUACAGGUCUACACACGAAGAAAAGAAAGAGGAAAAGGCAGUGAAACCUGUUGUCCCUGCCCUAUCCUCCAGAAAGGCCACUGACAGACCCCUCCAUCUGCCCAUGAACUUCUGAAUUCAUAAUCUAAUUUCUCCAUCUUCCCUUUCACCCCACCCAUAUUUCCCCCCUGGAAGGAUCCAGAUCCAUCCCAAAAGACUUGUUAGGUAAUCUAAAUAAAACAAGUUUGGGGUUUUUUUAAGCCCCAAUGCCAGGUUGUAAAAUGACUGCACUUCAUAUAGGUACCUUUGUCACUGCCGGAAAAUGUCUGUAAGGCCUCCCACACAGUAGCAGAACACUCAGGAUUGAAAGGGGGAAACACAGAAUGCCCAAUUUUCCUCUCAGAAAUCAAGAUUUAAAAAACCAUAAUUUGAGGGCUACAGAGCACAUUCCUCCCUGAGGCCUAUGAUUGUGGGAUACCAGGGGAAUUGGGAACAUGAGCCUAGAGUGAAAUUUGGGCUCACGACUAAAAUGAGUUUUCUUAAAAGGGGGCAGGAGGCGGCUCAGUCAGCUCAUACAUACAGAAGUUGGGAGGAGGGGCAGUUGCUGAGGUUGUAAGGAAGUUGGAAAUCAAAUUCUCAGAAGACAAACGAAGUUGUAAUCUCAAGUAAAACACACGUCCACCCAGCUAUGUCUUCCUACCCUGCCCAGAGAAAGGAGAAUGGCAGGAAACCUGGCCUUGAGUGUGGAAAAGGAUCUACAAUGAAGCGCCCGCACCCCUUCCUAUGCCGCAGCUCCCGGAAAGCCUCUUCCACUUCGGCACUCUCAGAUGUUAGUCCUUGAAACCUGUUAAAGGCAGAUACGAUCACAAGCCCGCUCCAUGACACAUGACCCCUUCCGUGGCCAACCCUACCUUCCCUUCUAGACUCCCGAUUCCACUUUUACUUCAACUCUCCCUUUGAAGUCCCAUGAUCAAAGGUCCACCUGGGUUCUCACACUCAAAAUCUGUCCCCCAAUCCUCUUCCUAGCUGUUUCCUUGGUAGUCAUUGGCUUUUGCCGACCAUUAUUCACUGAGUCCCACAAGAUACAAAGACAAAUUUGAACGUACCUUUAACAAUGAAAUGAAAGCGGGCGGAGGGGGGUGGGGGGUCCUUGAAAAUUAAACGUGGAUACCCAAUCAGAAACUUUGCUUUAAAAAGUGGGGUAAUAUGCACAUAUACACUUGUGCAUACACACAGCAUCAUGAGCUUGACCAGCUUCAGAAAACAAUUCUCAAGGGUGUGAAAAACCAACAGCAGAGGUUCCAUGGGAAUGGAUGGGAGGAGCCAAGAAAGGCCCUGCCCACUGAAGCUGGCUCCCUGAGAAUGUGGGGCAGAAGUCUCCACCUACUUUUGUUGGGCACAUGUGAGAGUCUUCUAACCCUCUGAUGCCAGAGAAUGGGUGAGCUCGCUUCGGUGACUUGACUUAAAAAACGCGGAUUGGUGGAACGUUAGAGAGGCAGGGCAGAGUCACGUCAGGCAGAGCACAUUGGUACAGUAUUUACGUCUAUGAUUAGAAACGAAAACCAUAGAUGAUAUAUAGAUAUAGAUAUAGAUAUAGAUAUAGAUAUAGAUAUAGAUAUAGAUAUAGAUAUAAAAUCGUGAAGAAGAAUAGGAGGAGGAGGGAGAGGAAGGGGAGAGGAGGAAGAAAAGGAAGAAGAAGAGGAGGAAGAAGAGGAGAAGGAAGAAAAAGAGGGAGAGGAAAAGGAUGAGGAGGAAGAGGAGAAGGAAGAGCAGGAAGCGAGAUCCAGAACGACAUAAAGACCUGAGGAUGAAUCUGCCAUUUCCUAAUGGAUGCUGGGAUAUGUUAGCCGAGUAUCUUAACUUCUCUGAGCCUUUUCAAAAAUGGUGAAUCAUUAUGCAGCAAGGCGUGUCCAGGAUAAGGCGACGCCUAUCAUUGGUUGAGAAGGAAGGGUAGGUGGGGAAAAGUCUAGGAAGGAGAGAGGAAGAGGAGGAGGACCGAGGGAAGGAAGAUGGAGACAGAGGUGGAGGAUUCCGAUCCAGAGCUGUGCAACGAAACAUCCCAUUCUACAGGACGCAGGAAGGCAAACGACUGAAAAUGGCUUCAGGAUGUCUCCAGGACUGAGGAGAUUCACCACGCUCUGAAGAGAUUCACUACCCGCCCCCUGCCAGAGUGAGCAAUGGAAGCUCACUGAGGCCUUCUCAGCAGAGCAAUGCCAAACUGCAUAGAUGACUCUGAGACAAACCAAGCUGCAAAGAAAAAACUGAGACCAGAUCCGCUGCCCAGAAGACGCUUUCAUCAACUGAGACAUCUGGACAGGACAUUCUCCACCCUGUUGGGCUGCCUGCGGACUGUGUGGUGGGUUCCAGGUUCCCAGCUUUGUGAGCUGUCACCCAUGCUGUAGUGGGCCUUGGCGAUGCAGCUGUCUUUGAGCCAUUUCUCCUCCUGUAAGUGAUCUCCUCACCUGCUCCUGUAAGUGACACAAAUUAAACUCACUACGCUUAACCUUGAUA